UUUAAAAUGGUUUUAAAAACUUGUGGGUUCUGAAAUAUACCUCUUUCUAAUUUACAAACUAGACAGCUUUUGCGAAUUGACCCUGGCCGGCCAUUCUUCAUAUUCUUCUUACUCCUCCCAGCCCCACCCUGCAUACUCUGCCAUUUUGUCUUUCUCUUUCUAUUCUCAGACAUGCCUAUCACUGAACUACAAUGUAUGAUAGUUGUGCUGGCAUGGGGCAGCUGAGAUGGAUGGAAGGCACUAUUCUUCAUAGUUAAAAUAUUUAUUUCCUCUGUAGGAAAGUAAGACAUGUUUUAUGGUCCAAGUAUUCAACUUACAAGUUAAUUUUUGCAACACACCUUGCUUGCAGACCAAACCAGGGACCAGCAGUGUAUUCCUUUUAUGGAACCAUUAACAAGAUCUAGUCUUUCUGUGUUAGCCAUGAUGCUAAUACUGAAUGUUUUCCUACCUCACAUCAUGAGAAUCAGAAGGCUACUGGCCUUCUCAGACCUUCCUUCUUUCUGUUGGCCUUUCUGAGUCUGGAAUGAUCACUCCAUUGAAUAGAGUAUUCCAGCCAGUGUCCUGGCUACAGAUGUUUGAGUGAUUACUGUGUGUCAGAAAUGUCAGCUAUGUGCUCUUUCCUGCCACCUCCUGGUGGUUUUCUGUUAUUGGGAAGUUAAGCGUGGGCUGCCCUUGGCUCUUUUUUGCAUUUGACUGUGCAC
rnacentral:lncRNA from 1 species